GCAGGAACGUGUGCGGGUUAACGAGCUAGCCUGCUGGUCCCAGGAAGAAGAUAAGAGACUCACGGAGCAGGACUGCCUGACCAGGUCCAGCCCAGAUCAGCUGACUCUCAGCCAGUUCACAGAAGCAUGAACUAAAUAAGUGCUCCUGGAGCCAACGAUGAGUGGUGUCCACCUUACUCCAUCCUCAUCCACCUUGUCUCCCAGGCCCAUCACUGGCACUCCAUUGGCCCAACCCAUCUACCAAGAACAAGUUUCACAGUCUGUCUGGCCCCACAUCUGGGAGAGAAAGACGGGCAGGGGGCAUAGAAGGUACAAGUCCAGCAGCACCGCAUCAUGUGUAACCUGGUUUCCUGGUCACACCAGCUUCAGGGCCAGCAGCAUCUGCACUGAAGAGGCACUCACUCUGCGCCAGGCACUAUCCUAUUACACACCUAAUGCAGAGGGACAGCACCAGCAUGCCACCUUGGCCGUAACCUUGAAGGCACAAAGCCAGCAAGGACCCUCUCACAGCAGCAGACCCUGCGUGUUGAUGAGCAGCCAAGGGGCAGGAGGGGCAGGUGGCCCACACCCUCCCCUCCUCCUCCCGGGGGAGACAGCAAGAAGGGAUAGCAACGAACAAAAGAAAUCCUUCCCCUUCAUCUCCUGAUCCCUGCCCUCUCUCAGAACUGCUCACUGGCAUCUCGCAAAGAUCACUGAACCAACAGUUUCCAGGACUACUGCUCCCAUGUGUAGCUGCAGGCUGAGCUCGGAAGCCAGACCCACCA
ensembl:lncRNA